UCUCAUUUUCUCCGUACUCUC
rnacentral:siRNA from 1 species